UUUAGCACCAUUUUAGAUUUACUGAUUGGAGAUAGAACUAUAGAUGCUAAAGCAGAUCAACCUAUCAACUACACACUUGCCUUGACCGUAUGAAGUAACCAAAGCUGAUUUCCAACACUAAACCUGACAUAACCGCUUGUCUUGGGGCUUGGUAUACAUGGGAUCGGAUUCUUCAGACAAGUCUGGAAGGUAACGCCUUGUGUAGAUUAGUUAUCACAUUUUCUCUCUCUAAAUUUUGACCUUAGAAUAGUUAGUGAUUUAUAUUUCCC
rnacentral:lncRNA from 1 species